UGGUAAUGCCGGAUGCUCCAUCACACUGCAUGGUGUGUUGGGAAAGCCUUUGCGGCAUGGGAUGGGGUCGCGUCCUAUCAGCUUGAUGGCGGGGUAACGGCCCACCAUGGCUUCGACGGGUAGCCGGCCUGAGAGGGCGACCGGCCACAUUGGGACUGAGAUACGGCCCAGACUCCUACGGGAGGCAGCAGUGGGGAAUAUUGCACAAUGGGCGCAAGCCUGAUGCAGCGACGCCGCGUGAGGGAUGGAGGCCUUCGGGUUGUAAACCUCUUUUGUUAGGGAGCAAGGCAUUUUGUGUUGAGUGUACCUUUCGAAUAAGCACCGGCUAACUACGUGCCAGCAGCCGCGGUAAUACGUAGGGUGCAAGCGUUAUCCGGAAUUAUUGGGCGUAAAGGGCUCGUAGGCGGUUCGUCGCGUCCGGUGUGAAAGUCCAUCGCUUAACGGUGGAUCCGCGCCGGGUACGGGCGGGCUUGAGUGCGGUAGGGGAGACUGGAAUUCCCGGUGUAACGGUGGAAUGUGUAGAUAU
rnacentral:rRNA from 1 species